rnacentral:rRNA from 1 species
AACGAACGCUGGCGGCGUGCCUAACACAUGCAAGUCGAACGCGAAAAGCAGUAAUGCUGAGUAGAGUGGCGCACGGGUGAGUAACACGUAAAUGACAUGUCCUCGAGACGGGAAUAACCAGCCGAAAGGCUGGCUAAUACCUGGUAAGCCCACGUCUUUGGAGAUGAGGGAAAAGGGUCGGGAAUUUUCGAAUCCGAUCGCUUGAGGAGUGGUUUUGCGGCCCAUCAGGUAGUUGGCGAGGUAAAAGGCUCACCAAGCCUAAGACGGGUAGCUGGUCUGAGAGGAUGAUCAGCCACACUGGAACUGAGACACGGUCCAGACUCCUACGGGAGGCAGCAGUGGGGAAUCUUGCGCAAUGGGAGCAAUCCUGACGCAGCAACGCCGCGUGGGUGAUGAAGGUCUUCGGAUCGUAAAGCCCUGUCGGAGGGGGAAGAUGCUUGGAACGUCUAAUAGAUGAGCCAGGUGACGGUACCCUC